rnacentral:lncRNA from 1 species
UUGGUUCGUCGGGAUGCCCCUUUUUUGCCUGGACUAUUCUUUUUACUGUCCAACGGGUCUAUUUUAUGCGAAGUAUUUUUCAAUUGCGUCUGAGUUGACAGGGGACGGGAAGUCUUCGCCAUCCAUGGUUGUUAGCAUCAGAGCUCCGCCAGAGAAAACUAUUUUAACCACAUAUGGACCCUCGUUGGUCGGUAUCCAUUUG